rnacentral:rRNA from 1 species
GACGAACGCUGGCGGCGUGCCUAACACAUGCAAGUCGAACGGAAAGGCCCUGCUUUUGUGGGGUGGUCGAGUGGCGAACGGGUGAGUAACACGUGAGUAACCCGUACUUGACUUUGGGAUAAAUUCAGGAAACUGGGGAUCAUACCGGAUAGGAGAUAUUGCUGCAUGGUGGGGGUUGGUAAGAUUCGGUGGUUGGGGAUGGAAUCGCGGCUUAUCAGCUUGUUGGUGGGGUAGUGGCUUACCAAGGUUUUGAAGGGUAGCCGGCCUGAGAGGGUGGCCGGCCACAUUAGUACUGAGGUACGGCCCAGACUCCUACGGUAGGCAGCAGUGGGGAGUAUUGCACAAUAGGCGGGAGCCUGAUGCGACAACGCCGCGUGCGGGAUGACGUCCUUCGGGUUGUGAACCGCUGUCGCCUUUGACGAGGCGUGAGUGACGGUAAUGGGUAAAGAAGCACCGGCUAACUACGUG